GUUACAUCUAUAAAACAUACAAAAACAAAAUAGAAGUAGUUACAUCUAUAAUACAUACAAAAACCAAAUAACGAAAAUAGAGGUAGUUACAUCUAUAACACAUACAAAAACAAAAUAGAGGUAGUUAGAUCUAUAACACAUACAAAAACAAAUAACGAAAAUAGAAGUAGUUACAUCUAUAAAACAUACAAAAACAAAAUAGAAGUAGUUACAUCUAUAAAACAUACAAAAAACAUAAUAACCAUUUUGGCCUGAGAUAAACUGCAGCCACUAUCUUAGUCUGUCUAGUAGUUGAUGAAAGUGUAACAAUUUAAAAUAGAGAUAAAUUGAUGCCACUGUACCUAUUAAUUGAUGUAAGAUAUGAAUGAAAUUAUUGUAAUGUUUUACCUCAGAGAUAAACUUGUACCAAUAUUCAUUAAUGAGUACAUAAUAGAUAAGGAUAAAACUGACAGCAUGCAAUCUAACAAAUGAACUGAAGCCACUCUACUUAUUGAUUUGUACCAAAUAUAGUUGUAACAAUUCUAUAACUGAUAAUAAUUAGUGUAAUUCCAUGAGUUAAAUAAACUUUUCCCAACCUGUU